rnacentral:pre_miRNA from 1 species
AAAGUACUCCCUCCAUCCCAAAAUUCUUGUCAUAGAUUUGUCUAGAUACGGAUGUAUCAAGUCACAUUUUAGUAUUAGAUACAUCAGUAUCUAGACAAAUCUAAGACAAGAAAUUUGGGACAGAGGGAGUAGUUG